rnacentral:lncRNA from 1 species
GACGAAUUUGUGAGAGGUAGACUUAUCGAUAGAUUCGAGACGUGUUAAGCGGAGUUCACUGCGUUAUCUUUUUAACAUUCUUUUGGCUACUCGUUAAUUGAUACAGAAUGAUGAAGGUUGAUUUUCUACACUGACUAUUUUCAUAUCUUUAGGGGUAGUUCCUAUCCGCAGUCCUACAGUGGGCAAAAAUAGGCAGUAGAAAAAAUCUGAUCAUCAUGCUGAUCUGCACAGUGCAGAUAUUUUCCUGCUUUUUGAAAGAAGGAACAUAGGAUGUCUUGGUGCCAAGUAUUCUUAAAUUAGCUGGAAAAACCUAAAGUUGGAGGAUGCUACAGUUGUUUCUCAUUUGAAGUUUUGUGAAACAAAUGAUUUAUUCCACAAUCUUUAGCUUUCCAGGAAGACACCCAUCCACAAAGCCAUGGGCGAUGGAUGACAUGAAAUUAUAAUUGAUUAAGAAAAAUACUUACUGAGAUCGAAAGCAAAAAUUUUAUUAUUGUAAGCUGCACAUUGUGUUGAAAAAAAGCAAAAUCGGGUAUUUGAAAAGAAGUUAACAGGCAACAUGAUUUAAUACUUCAUAAAUGGCAGAUCCUUUCAUUCACUAAGUCUUGGUGGGAACACACAGUGGCCCAGAAUUGUUUACCUUUUGUGCACAUUCUGCGUUGGCUUUUAUUCAACCAAGUAAUUAAUAAUCACUUUUGUGUAUUUCCUAAAGAGGAGGAUUUCCAGCAGCUGCUUGCUUCAUUUGAAUCCAGUUGACAGUCACAUUUACCAGCUGUUCCUAGUUUAAUGGGUAGCUACUGUUUAGUAUGAGUAUUAACAUUUAGCUUCAUCUGAUUUAAGUGAAAGAAAUAUUAAAGGAAAAAUGACUCUUUGGAAACAACCAUAUACCAAUUCUUUACACCCAACAAUAAAACAAAAGAAGAGCUUAUCAUGGUGCUGUAAUAGUAUCGCUUACCUGAAGAAUGUUAGCUGCAUUAAUAAUUAUGCACAGAAAAAACGGUUGGUCGCAAUUCCAAACGUCAAAUGUACAGAUUUCCGGUUGGACGAGCGGGUCAUGAAGAAAAUGAAAGAAUAUUCGCUGUAUUACAUGUCACUCCAAUUCAUUCGACAACAGGACAACAGCAUCAUUCUUCAUUCGGACUGUUCCUGAUUGUCUUGAAGAUGUAUUGCUAUUGCUCGUCAUGCCCAAUGAGAAAUUUUACAGGACUGCGUUGCAAAUUGGUAUCAGCUCUACAAAAAUUUAGAUCACAUGUCUACUGUGAAAACGAUCAUGUGUCUGUUACAGAAUAUGGCUCUCUCCGUUCGCGACAUUAGACCUCCUCAUUGUGUCAUUCUGAUGCAGAGCUCCUGAAAUGAAGUUGAACGUUUUGAACAAUCUCAGACCAAAGCUGAAGUUCUAGAGGUAUUAGGGAAGUGGUUGCUUUUUGGUUAGUUUCUUCGCCGUCAGAUGCAUCAACCGGAAUAGUGUUCCUCCUCUCGUCACUCCCUCGACGUCAUUGCUCACAAAAAUGUGGUGCAUUUUUCUUAUCUUGAUGUUAUAUCAACUCGCAAAGACAAAUCGGAAGACGGUACUCUUUUCCUGGACAAAAAAGAAUGGAAAUUUAAUACAUUAGCAAGUAAUCCGCAGCCAAAUAGAUCAAACGCAAGAGAUAUCCCGCCUCGUCCGGCAACUUACCAUCCAGCAACGCAUCCAUCAACAGAGUGUUGAAGAGGAAACAAAUUGUCUACAUGCCGACUCGACGAUUUCCAUGCAAGAUGGAAUGUUAAAAUCCAAGGAGAUCUGGUGAGCAGGAUGCAACGGACUAUGUCAUGUCAAACCAUUAGCUGAAUACAAUGAAAACUAUCAGUUCUCCAGAACGAGAGGCCUACAUAGGUAAUAAUCAUACUGAAUCAAAAGAGGUACCUAAUUGAACGAGAUUUUAUAACGAUAACGACGAAGUGCAUGUGGAAAUUCUAACAGAAAACGCUACCUGCAGGGUACCUUUACUUGCUGAUUCAUCCCGAAGAUAAAAUAUAUAAAAUUUUAUAAAUUAAAUUGCAUAUCUGGGCUCCCUUCUUUUCUGUGGCCCCGUUUCCCCUUGACUUGUGAUAAGCCCGUAGGGGGUCAUGCCCCUACUGUGAUCAGCAGCAAA